rnacentral:rRNA from 1 species
GACAGAGGCCCCGAGCGUUAGGCGGAAUCACUGGGCUUAAAAGCGUGUGUAGGCGGGCCCGUAAGUGUCUUGUGAAAUCCCACGGCUCAACCGUGGAACUGCUGGGCAUAACUGCGGGUCUGGGCCAACUAGGGGCAGCCGGAACAAGCGGUGGAGCGGUGAAAUGCGUAGAUAUCGCUUGGAACGCCGGAAGGUGAAAACAGGCUGCUGGGGUUGCGC